UUCCUACGGGUGGCAGCAGUGGGGAAUAUUGGACAAUGGACGCAAGUCUGAUCCAGCAAUGCCGCGUGAGUGAUGAAGGCCUUAGGGUUGUAAAGCUCUUUUACCAGGGAUGAUAAUGACAGUACCUGGAGAAUAAGCUCCGGCUAACUCCGUGCCAGCAGCCGCGGUAAUACGGAGGGAGCUAGCGUUGUUCGGAAUUACUGGGCGUAAAGCGCACGUAGGCGGUUACUCAAGUCAGAGGUGAAAGCCCGGGGCUCAACCCCGGAACUGCCUUUGAAACUAGGUAACUAGAAUCCUGGAGAGGUGAGUGGAAUUCCGAGUGUAGAGGUGAAAUUCGUAGAUAUUCGGAAGAACACCAGUGGCGAAGGCGGCUCACUGGACAGGUAUUGACGCUGAGGUGCGAAAGCGUGGGGAGCAAACAGGAUUAGAUACCCCGGUAGUCC
rnacentral:rRNA from 1 species